GACGAACCGUGCGAACGUUAUUCGGAAUCACUGGGCUUAAAGCGCGUGUAGGCGGGCGGGUACGUCGGCGACUGAAAGCCCCCGGCUCAACUGGGGAGGGUCACGCGAUACUGAUCGACUCGAAGGCAGGAGAGGGAAGUGGAAUUCCCGGUGUAGUGGUGAAAUGCGUAGAUAUCGGGAGGAACACCAGUGGCGAAGGCGACUUCCUGGCCUGUUCUUGACGCUGAGGCGCGAAAGCUAGGGGAGCAAACGGG
rnacentral:rRNA from 1 species